rnacentral:rRNA from 1 species
UAGUCUGGGAAACGUGCCUGAUGGAGGGGGAUAACUACUGGAAACGGUAGCUAAUACCGCAUAAUGUCGCAAGACCAAAGUGGGGGACCUUCGGGCCUCAUGCCAUCAGAUGUGCCAGAUGGGAUUAGCUAGUAGGUGGGGUAAUGGCUCACCUAGGCGACGAUCCCUAGCUGGUCUGAGAGGAUGACCAGCCACACUGGAACUGAGACACGGUCCAG